CCUACAGGGGAGGUGCAGAGCACCAUAGUUUCAACUGUCCCUUCACAGAGAGUGGUUAUUACUCAUUAUGUGACUGGCCUGUUCCUGCUCUUCUACUGGCGAAUAAUCUCUUCUGACAGAGAUUGGAAACGUGGUGUUUUCGGGAGCUGCCGCUUUAUUGCCCUACUGCAAAGGCAAAGAGGAAAAAGCUUCUUUGCCUCCUGGUUCCCUCAGGAGCUUCCUCUACCCCACCAUCUGAAUUCUGAUUCUCCAUCAUCGUACAAGCCUCUUCUGUGACCUGUGGAAUCCUGUCCCUUUCUUUCCGAUGAUGGUAAAGACUCUAUUUUCUUAUGCU
rnacentral:lncRNA from 1 species